rnacentral:rRNA from 1 species
UACGAAGGGGGCUAGCGUUGUUCGGAAUUACUGGGCGUAAAGCGCACGUAGGCGGUUUGUUAAGUCAGGGGUGAAAUCCUGGAGCUCAACUCCAGAACUGCCUUUGAUACUGGCAACCUAGAGACUGGAAGAGGUUAGUGGAAUUCCCAGUGUAGAGGUGAAAUUCGUAGAUAUUGGGAAGAACACCAGUGGCGAAGGCGGCUAACUGGUCCAGCACUGACGCUGAGGUGCGAAAGCGUGGGGAGCAAACAGG